CUGAUUUACAAAUAUGAAAAAGAGUGAGAGAGAUUGAGACAAGACAAUAAAAACAAAAGUACAAGUGAUUAAAUUGCCCUCUCCAUUCAGUCUUUCUGCUGAAAAGUGAUUAAAUUAAUCAACUAUGCCUAUUUACAGAGCAAGUAUCCAUGUUUCAAAAAGGAACAAGGUAGGAGGUUACUUCAUCAGCCCCUUAACAAAUUUUGAGGUGUACGCACAAGGUCGUCAUCAUCAAAGACACAACGUCGAUGCAG
rnacentral:misc_RNA from 1 species